CAUGUUCGCGAAACUACCCGAACUAAAAAAACCACCCACCCCGGCGUCUGAGACGUCCCAUCUCCCGACCCCCACGAUUACCACCACCCACCCUAUGCGCCUCCGCCGCCGGACCACCCCGCGCCGCCGCCCACCUCACCCAUCUCGGGCGCCGCCGCACCUGCAACCCCGGGCAUCGCCGGCAACUCCCAGCGCGCCGCCGCCCACCUCACCCACCCAGCGCGCCGCCGCCCCUGCAACCCCGGGCGCCGCCGGCAACUCCCACGCGGUGCCGCGAGAUGGAUCUCGCCUCUGCGGGUCGCCGCCGCCGUGCCUCCAAUCCCGGUGGCCGCACCCUUGCCCCCCCCCACCCCCACUGAUUUGAUCUCCCCCUGAUCGUAUGUUCUUCCUCGUGGACAGGAUCGAACAAGCGCCACUGGCCGUCCCAAGCGCAUCUGGUGCUGCCGUCCCCCGCGCGUCGUACUCUGGCUACUAUCACUGGCCACGAUAGGACGUUGCUCCGGCCACUGCUUCAGUAGUCCAAGUGCCCCACCGGUGUCCGUCCAAGUUCCUCUCCCUGUGCUCCUUCAUGCCGGAGCAGCUUCAGAGGGGCCUGGCUCCGCUGGCCUCUGCGUUGUACGUCAGUUCAACCAGAGCGCAUGGGGAAGUCCACCGAUGGCAGCCGCAGCCCCCGCCCUCACAUCCUCACCAUCUCCUGGCAAAGCUCGCCUCACAACCUCACCAUGGAGUUCCAUGGGUUGUGGCUCCCAUGGCCGGCUUCUUCCCCAGUCGCCGCGACCCCAUCCGAACGACACACCACCACAGGGCUACUCCAUGGAGACUACACCAACAUGAUGGAGACGCUCGGCCUGGGCCAGCCCUUUCUAGUGCGCCUGGCACCUCCCACCGUUCAAGUACUGCUCCCAUGGAGGCCAAAUCGAACUUCACCAAAAUCUAGAAAAAAAGAUGAGCAACACCAGGGAGCUACACGAAAACGAAGUUGACGUUGCCCAUAGGCUGCCGUGAUGUCCAUGCUGAGGUCAGGAGGUUCCAUCCCGUUGCUCGUCAACCCUCCUGGAGUUCGGCGCUCUUUGUGCUUUUGGUCGCUGUCGUUUAUGUCAAUUGUGUGUGUGUGUGUGUGUGAGAGAGAGAGAGAGUAGAGAGAGUUUGUUGUACACUUUACAGUCCUCGGUGCUGCUGCUACAUGCUUUGUGAAAAAGCUAGAGCAAAAGGGAAUUAACAAUUAAUAUAUAAGAAUUUGUGUUUGGUUGCA